UUUACAAAUCCCUUUAUAAAUGCUGACUUUUUUUUACCUGAGAGAUUAUUCCUGAGUUGAUUUCCUUUAAAGCCUGAUGGAUUUGUUUCUUUACUUCAGUUGCUAUCAUGUCAUAAAUUUCAGGUGUGUAGGGAUGGGGAUUUAGCUCAGGGGCAUAAGCACCUGCCUUGCAAGGGCAUGGUCAUGAGUUUGAUCUCCAGCACCAAAAAAAAAAAAAAAAAAAAAAGAAAAAUAAAUUUCAGGUAUGUGUCUUCUAAUUUAUUCUAUGUCAAUAUUUCUUGGAAUUGUUUUUAGUGGGUUGAAGAUAUGAGAUUGCAUUUUGCUUUUUCGUCUUGUCAUUUUCUGGUUAUAUUUUUAAAUUUUGUUUUCUAGGAUGAUCUUUGUGAGUUUUUGAGGUGGAUAACUAUAUUACCACUGUCAAGAUCUCUUUAGGAAAAGUCUUUUCUUCAGGGAUGUCUAUGUUGGAGAUUCUUGAUUUGUGUUUGUUCCAAGAUUCUACUUUCCCAUUUAAUUAAGAGUGAGAUGUUAGUAUCUAUUUGGCUAAGUCACCAGUCCUUUGGUGUAGGGCUUUGGUAAGGUUAUUACCCCAGAGCUUCCUAGUAUUGUUAGAAGAGAGAGCAGCUGAUUACAGUAGAUAUGACCUCCUGGCUAAGGUAGUAAAAUUGGCAAUAAUGAUAGCAUCAAACACAAUUUAGAGACUGACAAGCUGUGGUAACUAUUGAUUUUGUACUUUAGACCAGAGGAGUAAAUCCUAUAGUUAUAGAACAAAACCAGUAAUAAAAUUAGGAGGUUGUACACAAAGCGUUUCCCCUUGGUAGAGUGGUUUUACCCUGUGGUGUGGCACUUUAGGUACUUUGCCACUGAGCUAUAUCUCCAGUCCACUGGCAGAUUUAGUGUAUAAAACAAAUAAAAUUGGGAAGGAAAUAGAAGCAAAGCUGGAGGACAAAUGGUGGUCACACAUGGUUUGAAAAACUAGACAAGGAGGUAGAAAAGAAAGAAUAAAGGAAUGUUCAAGGUAUUAUCUGAACUUAGUCUUUGGGUUUGGGGGACAGGGUUAUCUUUCUGUAGCUGGAGUUCUCCCCCAGCUGUUUAGCAAAGAGAGGAAAAAAAAGAAAGAAAAGGGGAAAAAAGGAAGAAGAACAAAAAAAUGGAGCAAAAAGACAAAGGAAAGAGAGAGACACAGAGAGAGGGAGAAAAUUGAGAGAAAAGGGAAGGUUGCUGAGUCCCAGCUUUUUUCUGUGCUGAGUCUAGUUUUAAUUUCUUGAAGAGUUGCCACACUGAUUUCCACAGUGGUUAUACCAGUCCACACUCCCAUCAACAGUGAGGAAGGGUUCCUUUUCCCCCACAUCCUCACCAGCAUUUGUUAUUCAUUGAUGUCUUGAUAACAGCCAUUCUUUCUGAAGUGAGAAGGAAUCUCUCACACACAAUAGUGAUCAAACCCAAGAAUUUUGUACAGUUUGCUAAGUACUCUGCCUCAAGCUCAAAUUAUCAUCUCUGAGUGCUAACUCCUAUCCUAGUAUUUGACUUAAUGUAGUGUAAUCCACAUUAUUUCAAAGAAGGGGCUAUAUAAAGUGCAGGCCAAUGAAGUAAGGAAAUCACUGUAUUUGGUUUGCUCAGUUUUGUGAUCAAAUUGUCCACAAUGUCUUGUGUCCCUCAUGUGAAUCUCAGGGUUUCUUCUAGGUGUAUGACUGUGCUGGAUCAUUUUGUGUUGCUAUAACAAAAUAUCUGAGAUCAGGUACUUCAUAAAGUAAAGUGGUUUGUUUGGCUCAUGGUUCUAGUGCCCAGAAGUUUUGAACAGCAUGAUGGCAGCAUCCUGGUAUCCAAGACCUCCUGGUGGUGCACAACAUGGCAGAGAAGCAGAAAGGAAACCAGCCUGCUUUGUGGGUCUUACUAUAUUGCAGGAAAUUUCCCAAGUCAAACUGAAAGGAGGACUCUUCCCACUGAGGAGAUAAGAAGGCAGCAUUUAAUCUUAUACCAGCGGACUGCUGAAUCUUUGUACCAGUGAACUGUUGUGGAAUAGUUCCCAAAGCCUCCUUGGACAGCUGCCCCUCAGCACACCACCUUGCCUUAGAGUCAGCUGAGUGUGGACUGAAACCUCAAAAAAACGGUAUCAGGUAUUUUGUCUUAGUGACAGAAGGUGACUAAGACACCCUCUGCCCCCGGCUUACAAGAGACAAAUGGAGAAAGAAAUGAUACAAUAAUCAAUACAAAGCUUUAAAGGGUACCAGGAAUUGAACUGAGGACCACAUGCUUUCCAGGCAGACUCUAUGCCACUGAACUAAAUCCCCAGCCCCUAGUACUUACCUUCUUGGGGGAAAGUUAGUUAGCUCCUUUUGUAGUUUCUACCUCUGAAAACUGCUGACACAUGUUUCACAGGGUUUUGAGAGAAGCAAAAGUAGUGGAGAAUAUGGAUAAAGUACUGUGCUUGAUACUUGAACAUGGUGAUCAACAAUAGUGAUGUUGGUUUUAUUUAUUUUUUUUUUAAACAGGGUCUUGCUAUGUUGUUCAUUCUGGUCUUGGACUCUCUUAUGUAGCCUAGGCUGGCCUUGAACUCAUGGCAAUCUUCCUACCUCAGCCUUCUGAGUGCUGGGAUUACAGGUGUGUGCCCACCAUGCCCAGCAGACAGUGCCAUUUGUUUGUCUGUGGUACUGGGAUUUACACCCAGACCUUUGCACUGAACCACAGGUCCAGGAUUUCUUUGUAUAUUGAGACAUGGCCUCCAUAAAUUGUUAAAUUUCCCUGGCUGUUUGAAUUUGUAAUCCUCCUUCAUCAGUCUCCCAGGAUGCUGGGAUUAAAGAUGAAUGCUGACCAGGAAGCAGCAGCAACCUCCUGUGUACACUGAGUGGCUGAGUCUGGAGAGAAGUUUUCACCACCCCACCCCAACCAGUUGAUUCAGAGGAAUGCAAGAUUAGAAGAUAGCAAAUGAAGUAAAGGAAAAACUUAAUGCUUGUAGGACUGACUUUGCAGACCUAAAGCCGGUAGACUGAGCAUCUAUUUAGAGGACAACAAUAUGCAAAAUAGUAUCUAUUAUGGAAUUCCUACUGUCUUGUUUUUGCAAAUAUCAUCUUUAUUGUUUAGUUUUGUUUCAUUUUAUUGUUUUGUUUUAUUCCCUUUAAAAAAAUAAAGGUGUGUGCACCAUGA